AAUGAACGUUGGCGGCAUGGAUUAGGCAUGCAAGUCGAGCGAGAAGGGCACUGAAGCUUGCUUUAGUGCCCGGACAGCGGCGAAAGGGAGAGUAACGCGUAGUUAUGUGCCCUAGGGUCCGGAAUAGCCACGGGAAACUGUGGGUAAUGCCGGAUAAUAUCCCCGGAUCAAAGGUGUGAUUCCGCCCUAGGAGCAGACUGCGUCCUACUAGCUAGUUGGUGGGGUAAUGGCCCACCAAGGCAAUGAUGGGUAGCGGGUGUGAGAGCAUGACCCGUCUCACUGGGACUGAGACACUGCCCAGACACCUACGGGUGGCUGCAGUCGGGAAUCUUCGGCAAUGCGCGCAAGCGCGACCGAGCGACGCCGCGUGGGCGAUGAAGGCCUUCGGGUUGUAAAGCCCUGUCGAGGGGGAGAAAAGCGGGAAACCGUGUGAUCUAUCCCUGGAGGAAGCUCGGGCUAAGUUCGUGCCAGCAGCCGCAGUAAUAC
rnacentral:rRNA from 1 species